CCGAGCGCGGGCCCUCGUGGCCCAACCUCCAACCCUUCUGAAGUGACCCACUCUGUUGCCUCGGGGGCGACCCGGCCGCCGCGACGGCGUCGGGGCCCCCGGUGGACCACACCACCCUGCGUUGUUGCGUCGGAGUCGGAAGGGGAAAUUUUGAAUCA
rnacentral:misc_RNA from 1 species